AGAUGCAAAAACGUUUUUGGAUAUAAAAUUCUUCGGAAGUAAAACAGUUUCCUUACAUUCAGUGGAAGAAUCCGAUAAAAGGUAAGAAAAUAAACAUUUAAAAUAAACACACUAAAUUAAAUUCAUGACAGAUAUAUGAAAUAAAUAAAUGUAAUUAAUACAUUCUGAAGCAAAAAUAAGCUUCUCGGCUUUACACAUGUCGAAAACAGUCAGAUUUUAAUCUGCUGCUAUAUUCAUACAGAAUGCAAAGAUUUGUAUUUCGUGAUGUCUGAUACCAAUUCUAUCAGUGCUGUUUAAUAACUUCAAUUCAUGUUAUUAUUCUUAUAAGAUUCUCCUCAACUUGUCUGUAUAUGAAGAAUUGGAUAAACGCAAAAUGGUUUCUGAUUUUCUUCUCAAUAUCCGAUAUAUAUAUAUGUAUGUAUGUAUGUAUAUAUAUAUAUAUAUAUAUAUAUAUAUAUAUAUAUAUAUAUAUAUAUAUAUAUAUAUAUAUAUAUAUAUAACAAAGUAAAGUUGUAAGGUAUCGCACGAGUGAAAAUAUAUAUGAAAGUGGGUUUGAAAAUGCAAAGGUCUUUUAGUCUUUAGAGAUGUUUAUUGACUUGACAGGUUUCACUUUUUUAGAAAAAGAUUGUCAAAAGUACAAUAUGAAACUUUGUAUAAGUUUUGUUGUGUUAAAAAAUGGCUAUCACAAAAGUAUUAAGAUACAGUUAUGUAGACUUUGAUAAUGAUAAGAAUAUGUUAAAAACAGUUUACAAGAAAGUAUUCGAGAAAGAGAAUACAAUAAAUAUUAUGAGUUCAAUAAAAAUCAUGUUUGUUUGGUAGUAUAUAUAUAUAUAUAUAUAUAUAUAUAUAUAUAUAUAUACAGUAGACUAUAUAACUGUAUCAAUACUUAUAUAUAUAUACACACAUGUGUAUAUAUAUAAAUAUAUAUAUAUAUACAUAUAUAUAUAAAUAUACAUACAUAUAUGUGUACAUAUAUAUAUAUAUAUAUAUAUAUAUAUAUAUAUAUAUAUAUAUAUAUAUAUAUAUAUAUGGGGGGGGGGGCAGAUCAGAUCAGCCAACUGAUGUUGACUGACUGCAAACGCUUCUACAACUGAAUGCUGAGUGCUACUUGGUAGGACUGCAACUAACUUGUCACAGGAUAAGCAGCCGAAGUUUCGUGAGGCAAUAUUCUAAAAUCUGUUAUCUUGUCAUUGGAAUUAUUAGGAUCGAAAAAAAAACGUUACUCAUGAAGCAUCGUGGCUCGUAGUGAAUCAGAAAUGAAGGUAUAAUCUUUUAUUCGACGUUACCAGGAAAUAUUUUAAUGGGGCGCAAAUCACGGAGUUUAGUGAAAUAUUCAUCCUGGAAAGUCAUACGAAACCACACAGCCUCCAUCCACGCAGCGUAAGCUGGUAAUUUCAAUAUCUCGAUCAGUCAUUGGUAUGAAUAAAUUUGGGAAGUAUUUAAUACAUAUUUCUAAGUCAUACGGUUUAAAAUCGGAAAGAAAAUAUUACCAAUACAACUAAUAUAAUCACACGUCUGACAUAAAUCUGCAAUUCUGAUGCAUGUCUACAUCACAGGACGACCAAAUUAACCUGCACCGUAAGACAUACAAACACUAUCACUACAGAAUAUCAAAUGAGGAGACUGGAUAUAUUCAUAGGAAUUCUAACAACCUUCCAGUUAUAAUUAGGAACAUAAUUGCUCAUAUCAAUAGAAAAAUCUCUCAUUUAUUCCGAGAUAGAGAUAUCUUGAAUAGAGCCGCACCCCAUUAUAAUGAUGAAGUACUAAGAAUUGGUUUUAAAGAAAUUAACAUAACUCGAAAAUCCUCUGGGCAAGUUUGUCUUAUGAUCUUCCUUGUGUAGCCAAGAAUUACCUAUUCCUAAUGAGGCAACAUAUACCAAGUAUGCAUAAAUAGGCUUAUAAGGAACAUAAUAUUAAUGACAUCUACUCUUGCCUAGAUAUCAUUGCAUCCAAUAUCACACGCUACAACAGAGAAAACAUAUCUACACAACUUUCAUCCGAAAGAAACGCACCUGCCAACUAAGCGAAUUUCAUCUCCCCAGUUAUAUAUAUAUAUAUAUAUAUAUUCAUACACCUUCACACGCGUGCACUCAUACACAAAGGUAGGGAUACGAGUGUGCGUGAAAUAUAACUGUUAAGUUGUUCAUUAUACUGGAGUAUAAUUUCCGAAGUUAUUUCGGCAUCAAACUGUUUGUGAGUGUGAGUGGAAGCAUUAGCUAUGUGUGUGUGUAUGCAUAUAUAUAUAUAUAUAUAUAUAUAUAUAUGAAUACAUAUAUAUAUAUGUGUGUGUGUGUGUGUGUGUGUGUGUGUGUGUGUGUAUAUAUAUAAAUAAAUAAACAUAUAUGUGGCUGUGUGGUAAGUAGUUUGCUUACCAACCACAUGGUUCCGGGUUCAGUCCCACUGCGUGGCACCUUGGGCAAGUGUCUUCUACUAUAGCCUCGGGCCGACCAAAGCCUUGUGAGUGGAUUUGGUAGACGGAAACUGAAAGAAGCCCGUCGUA
rnacentral:lncRNA from 1 species